UACGAAGGGAGCUAGCGUUGUUCGGAAUCACUGGGCGUAAAGCGCACGUAGGCGGAUGUGUCAGUCAGGGGUGAAAUCCCGGAGCUCAACUUCGGAACUUCCUUUGAUACAGCACGUCUUGAGUCCGAUAGAGGUGGGUGGAAUUCCUAGUGUAGAGGUGAAAUUCGUAGAUAUUAGGAAGAACACCGGUGGCGAAGGCGGCCCACUGGAUCGGUACUGACGCUGAGGUGCGAAAGCCAGGGGAGCAAACGGG
rnacentral:rRNA from 1 species